GUUUGCUGCUGCCGCUGUGCAGUUUGUUCAGGGGCUUGUGGUGGUGAGUCCGAGAGGCUGCGUGUGAGAGACGUGAGAAGGAUCCUGCACUGAGGAGGUGGAAAGAAGAGGAUUGCUCGAGGAGGCCUGGGGUCUGUGAGGCAGCGGAGCUGGGUGAAGGCUGCGGGUUCCGGCGAGGCCUGAGGUGAAGUGAAGGGAAAAGAGCUGAGCUCGCUGGAGGUCUGAGCUGUGCUGUCGUCAUGCCUCAAACCCGAUCCCAGGCACAGGCUACAAUCAGUUUUCCAAAAAGGAAGCUGUCUCGGGCAUUGAACAAAGCUAAAAACUCCAGUGAUGCCAAACUAGAACCAACAAAUGUCCAAACCGUAACCUGUUCUCCUCGUGUAAAAGCCCUGCCUCUCAGCCCCAGGAAACGUCUGGGCGAUGACAACCUAUGCAACACUCCCCAUUUACCUCCUUGUUCUCCACCAAAGCAAGGCAAGAAAGAGAAUGGUCCCCCUCACUCACAUACACUUAAGGGACGAAGAUUGGUAUUUGACAAUCA
rnacentral:lncRNA from 1 species